UACGGGGGGGGCAAGCGUUGUUCGGAAUUACUGGGCGUAAAGGGCUCGUAGGCGGCCAACUAAGUCAGACGUGAAAUCCCUCGGCUUAACCGGGGAACUGCGUCUGAUACUGGAUGGCUUGAAUCCGGGAGAGGGAUGCGGAAUUCCAGGUGUAGCGGUGAAAUGCGUAGAUAUCUGGAGGAACACCGGUGGCGAAGGCGGCAUCCUGGACCGGCAUUGACGCUGAGGAGCGAAAGCCAGAGGAGCAAACGGG
rnacentral:rRNA from 1 species